AGCAGCCGCGGUAAUUCCAGCUCCAAUAGCGUAUAUUAAAGUUGUUGCAGUUAAAAAGCUCGUAGUUGAAUUUCGGAAUCUGUCCAUCGGUCGUGCUUCAUGUUCGUACUGGUGUGGUGGGUUCAUACCUUCUGAAUAACCAGCAUGCCAUUCACUUGGUGUGCUGGGGAAGCAGGACUAUUACCUUGAAAAAAUUAGAGUGCUCAAAGCAGGCUAGUGCCUGAAUACAUUAGCAUGGAAUAAUAAAAUAGGACGGUGGUCCCGUUUUGUUGGUUUCUGAAUCACCGUAAUGAUUAAUAGGGAUAGUUGGGGGCAUUAGUAUUCAAUUGUCAGAGGUGAAAUUCUAGGAUUUAU
rnacentral:rRNA from 1 species